rnacentral:misc_RNA from 1 species
AAGAGAUCAUGCCCUCACGGGUAGACCUCCCACCCUUUGUAUACUAUACUUUGUUGCUUUGGCGAACCUGCUUCGGCUACCGGCUCCGGCUGGUUCGUGUUCGCCAGAGGACCUAAAACUCUGAAUUAUAAUGCCGUCUGAGUACUAUAUAAUAGUUA